CCUACGGGAGGCAGCAGUGGGGGAUAUUGCACAAUGGGGGAAACCCUGAUGCAGCGACGCCGCGUGAGUGAAGAAGUAAUUCGUUAUGUAAAGCUCUAUCAGCAGGGAAGAAAAUGACGGUACCUGAGUAAGAAGCCCCGGCUAACUACGUGCCAGCAGCCGCGGUAAUACGUAGGGGGCAAGCGUUAUCCGGAUUUACUGGGUGUAAAGGGAGCGUAGACGGCAGUGCAAGUCUGGAGUGAAAGGCGGGGGCCCAACCCCCGGACUGCUUUGGAAACUGUACGGCUGGAGUGCAGGAGAGGCAAGUGGAAUUCCUAGUGUAGCGGUGAAAUGCGUAGAUAUUAGGAGGAACACCAGUGGCGAAGGCGGCCUACUGGACUGAAACUGACGUUGAGGCUCGAAAGCGUGGGGAGCAAACAGGAUUAGAUACCCGGGUAGUC
rnacentral:rRNA from 1 species